CCUACGGGUGGCUGCAGUGGGGAAUAUUGGACAAUGGGCGAAAGCCUGAUCCAGCCAUGCCGCGUGUGUGAAGAAGGCCUUCGGGUUGUAAAGCACUUUCAGUGGGGAAGAAAGCCUUGGGGCUAAUACCCUCGAGGAAGGACAUCACCCACAGAAGAAGCACCGGCUAACUCCGUGCCAGCAGCCGCGGUAAUACGGAGGGUGCGAGCGUUAAUCGGAAUUACUGGGCGUAAAGCGCGCGUAGGCGGUCUGAUAAGCCGGUUGUGAAAGCCCCGGGCUCAACCUGGGAACGGCAUCCGGAACUGUCAGGCUAGAGUGCAGGAGAGGAAGGUAGAAUUCCCGGUGUAGCGGUGAAAUGCGUAGAGAUCGGGAGGAAUACCAGUGGCGAAGGCGGCCUUCUGGACUGACACUGACGCUGAGGUGCGAAAGCGUGGGUAGCAGACAGGAUUAGAUACCCCUGUAGUC
rnacentral:rRNA from 1 species